AUACUUACCUGGCAGGGGAGAUACCAUGAUCACGAAGGUGGUUUCCCAGGGUGAGGCUUAUCCAUUGCACUCCGGGUGUGCUGACCCUGCGAUUUCCCCAAAUGUGGGAAACUCGACUGCAUCAAA
rnacentral:snRNA from 1 species